rnacentral:rRNA from 1 species
AAAACAUCGCCUCCUGCAACACAACCAAGUAUAGGAGGUCCAGCCUGCCCGGUGACUAUAAGUUUAACGGCCGCGGUAUUUUGACCGUGCAAAGGUAGCGCAAUCACUUGUCUUUUAAAUAGAGACCUGUAUGAACGGCCAAACGAGGGCUUAACUGUCUCCCCUUUCCAGUCAGUGAAAUUGAUCUGCCCGUGCAGAAGCGGGCAUAAUAAUACAAGACGAGAAGACCCUUUGGAGCUUAAGGUACAAAACUCAACCACGUAAAGCAACUCAACAAAAAGCAAAAACCUCGUGAAAAAUGAAAUUUUACCUUCGGUUGGGGCGACCACGGAGGAAAAAAAAGCCUCCAAGUGGACCGGGACAAAAUCCCUAAAACCAAGAGAGACAUCUCUAAGCCACAGAAUAUCUGACCAAACAUGAUCCGGCUAAUAAAACCGAUCAACGAACCAAGUUACCCUAGGGAUAACAGCGCAAUCCUCUCCCAGAGUCCAUAUCGACGAGGGGGUUUACGACCUCGAUGUUGGAUCAGGACAUCCUAAUGGUGCAGCCGCUAUUAAGGGUUCGUUUGUUCAACGAUUAAAGUCCUACGUGA